rnacentral:lncRNA from 1 species
GUGGGGCAUCUCUCUGAACCCCCUCGACCGUUCGAGCUUCCAUAAUACCAUCCGGACUUCUCCGACAAUGAGCUUCUCUACCAGUCUACCGGGCCGCCCCAAAGGCUCUCCGAACUUCACUAUCAGUCGAUCUUCUAUAGUAACCAACUAUUCUCCGAAUCUCUUUCGGACUUCUCCCAGCCACGAUCGACUUUACUCCGAACUCCUUUUGGGCUUCAUCAAUGUCCGAGCUUUCCCAACAACAGGGCUUCUGCAAUAGUCAGGUUUCAUCCAAGUUUCUACGGUGGUCGACCGCUUUCUGAAUUUUAUCUAGGCUCCUAUGGGAGCCAAAUUCCAGAUGAACUUCUACUACGAGCGGUCUACUUCGAACUUCUACUACGGGUGGUCUACUCCGAACUCCUACAGCGGGCGGUCUACCCCGGAUAUCUAUUGUAAACAAAUUCCAUCCAGACUCCUCAAGCAGUCGACCUUCAACAGUCCCA